CUGCCGAGCGCCGAGCAGCCGAUGGACAUGGCGGUCCCGGCCGUGUGAGGAUCCGCCAGGCCCAGAUUCCGGGCCGCAGACGAGACGGGCUUCCCGCCCGCGGCCGGUCGGGUACCGAGGGCUGUUGCUGGGGGCUCGCUCGGGAGCGGUGCGAGUUCCUUCUGCUCCUGAGAGGAGACUUCACCUGGGGCCAUGAUGCCACUUUCCUGUCACCUGUAUGCUGCUUAUUUCGGCUAACAUUCCGGGAGCCCUGGUCUGGGGAGGAAUCAAGCUAACUGUUGGCAUGAGGCCCCUGCCUUGUUGGAGUUGAGAGCGCACUGCCAUGGCUUCUCUGGAUGACCCGGGGGACGUGAGGGAGGGCUUCCUCUGCCCCCUGUGCUUGAAGGACUUGCAGUCUUUCUAUCAGUUGCAGUCACAUUAUGAGGAGGAGCAUUCAGGGGAAGACCGUGAUGUCAGAGGGCAGAUUAAAAGUUUUGUCCAAAAGGCUAAGAAAGCAAAGAACAAGUUGCUGAGACGGGAGGGGGAUGACCGAGCAGAGCCAGGGCCCCCAGGAUACGAGUCCUUCAGCAAUGGAGGGGUCGACCCUUACAUGUGGGAGCCUCAGGAACUGGGGACUGUGAGAAGCCAUCUUUCUGACUUCAAAAAACACCGUGCUGCCAGAAUUGACCACUACGUUGUUGAAGUCAAUAAAUUAAUAAUCAGGUUAGAGAAGCUCACUGCAUUUGACAGAAGCAACACGGAGUCUGCAAAGAUUCGAGCGAUCGAAAAGUCUGUGGUGCCUUGGGUCAACGACCAAGACGUCCCUUUCUGUCCUGACUGUGGGAGCAAAUUCAGCAUCCGUAACCGCCGCCACCAUUGCCGCCUCUGCGGCUCAAUCAUGUGCAAGAGGUGCAUGGAGCUCAUCAGCCUGCCCUUGGCAAACAAGCUCACCAGUGCCAGCAGGGAUGCCCUGAGCACCCACACCAGCCCCAGCCAGUCUCCUGGCAGCGUGCAUGGCUCGCGCCGUGGCAGCAUCGGCAGUGUGAGCAGCGUGAGCUCUGUGCUGGAUGAGAAGGAGGACGAGCGCAUCCGCUGCUGUGGGCACUGCAAGGACACACUGCUGCGCAAGGAGCAGCAGAUGGAUGAACGGGAGCACACGCCCGCCAUCACCAAGCUGUACGAGAAAUUGCGGCUCUGCAUGGAGAAGGUGGACCAGAAAGCUCCGGAAUACACUCGCAUGGCGGCGUCCUUGAAUGCUGGGGAGACCACCUACAGCCUGGAGCAGGCUGGCGACCUCCGCCUGGAGGUGCAGAAAGUAUACGAACUCAUAGACGCCCUGAGUAAGAAGAUCUUAACCCUGGGCUUGAACCAGGACCCCCCACCGCACCCCAACACGCUGAGGCUGCAGAGGAUGAUCCGGUACUCGGCCACACUCUUCGUGCAGGAAAAGUUGCUGGGUUUGAUGUCAUUGCCGACCAAAGAACAGUUUGAAGAGCUGAAAAAGAAAAGGAAGCAAGAUAUGGAGAGGAAGAGGAUGCUGGAGAGACAGGCUGCCCUGGAGUCACAGCGCAGGCUGGAGGAGAAGCACCAUGGUCUGGCAGCCAACGGGGAGGUGGCCCCCACAAGGAAGACUGAGGGCUGGCUCCCGCUGCCGGGGACGCAGGGCCAGCACGAGGACCCCGACCCCCUGCUGCAGCAGAUCUACAACAUUGAGUCAUUCAUCAAGCAGGCCCAAGCUGCUGGCCGUACAGAUGAGGUGCGCACCCUGGGGGAGAACCUGCGGCAGUUGCAGGACGAGUACGACCAGCAGCAGACGGCCAAGGCCAUCGAGCUAUCCCGCAGACAGGCGGAGGAGGAGGCCCUGCAGCGCGAGCAGCUGCAGAGGCUGCAGGAGCGGGAGUGGGAGCGGGAUCGGGAUCGGGCCACCUCCCUGCACUCUCGCACCCGGGCCCUAGACUCCCGGGAGGCCACGCCCUUCCUGCUAGAGCCUAGCUCCAGGCCUCGCCCACAUCCCUCCUUCGCACUGGAGCUGGGAUCCUCCCCAGGCUUGAGCAGCAUGGCCCAGGCCACACUAGGUGAAACCCCCUCACCUAGUUCGGCAUGGGCCCUGGGCCAGGAGCGCCUCCCCCAGAGCACCGAGCCCCAGCAGAGCGACAACGCUCCGAACCCCUUCAGCGGAGAUGGCCUCCCCAGUCCUGCCACUGCACAGGCCGUGCUCCCCAGAGAGUACAACCCUUUUGAGGAGGAGGAAGAGGAGGAGAAAGACACAGCAGCCUUGGCCACGGCCACAACUAACCCCUUCAUCAGCCCUGACAGCCCUGCACCCAACCCCUUCGAUGAGGAUGACGACGAGGACCACAGCAGCCCCAACCGGAGGCCUGCUAGCCCGCCCGUGCCUGGCAACCCCUUCGAGGAGCCCACUGGCACCAACCCCUUUGAGGUAGACAGCGACAGCGGCCCAGAGGCCGAGGAGCCCAUCGAGGAGGACCUGCUCCUGCAGCAGAUCAACAACAUCAAGGCCUACAUCUUUGAUGCCAAGCAGUAUGGGCGCCUGGACGAGGUGGAGGUGCUGACUGAGAACCUGCGGGAGCUGAGAUGCACCUUGGCCAAGCAGAAGGGGGGUUCCUGAGUGACAGCAGGGAGCAGGGCAUGCAGCCCGGAUGCUGCUGUCCAUUCCAGAUGCAUCUCCAUGAUAGCGGCUAAGAAGGAACUCCUGGGCACCAGCCUUCACUCCUUGGUGGCAUUUGCUGCCUCUUCUGUUUUUUUUUACUCAGCGUUUCCUCCUUUCAAGGACUUUGCAUCUUUACUACAAAGCUGUAACUUGGUGCACCUCUGUGGCCAAGGUGGACAUGACCACUAGCACCUCAUGGUCUCGGGCGCUAUGCAGUGUUAAGGCGGCCUCUGAUGGGCAGGCAGCCCCAAGUUGUCCUGCUCUGGCAGAACCCUGCGCCCGUUGGGCUGUGGGUCCCAGCUUUGCCUAGGGUUGGUCCUGGGGACCAGUGCUGUGGUGCAGGGAACACUGGAGCAGGGGCCCCACCUUGGAGGAUGUGCCGCCAGUGUCCCCUUCCCGCCCAGGCUACAGUGUCGCUCCCAGGGUGCUGUGCACUGUGACCUGGCCACGAGCCUGCAGGAAAAGGCACAGUUAAUGUCCUGGCCUCUGUUGGUGCGUCUGGGAGAAUCCCUCACGUGGACACAGCCCCGAGCCAGGCCUUCAGGAAGGGCCGGCGUAUAGCUCCAGAGCUGGUGAGCGGAGGCCUGUGUGGAACAUCGCCAGAAGAGCAGGGCCUUCUCCAAGGCUGAGUAGAGUCCGGCAAGCUCUGUGCUCUGGCCAGCAUCUUGCUCAUCGGGCCACCCUGGCCAGGGUGCUGGUGAGCAGUCUCCUCACCACUGUUAGUGUUAAGGAACCAAACUGCUAGGAGGGUGAACAGCACCCUGCAGUGGCCUGUGGCACUUGGUCUUCAGCUGGGGCAGAAAAGGCCGCUGGCUCCUUGGCUUUGGUGCUCUGGUACGCAGGAGCCAGACCCUGGACUGACGGGCGCCCUCAUGGCUCUGGGCAGCACGCUGCAGGGAGCCUGCUGUCUCUCCGAGGAGCCAGUGGCCUUCCACCCCGAAGAAGCUAAUACAGCUCGCAGCGUCGAGUGGGGGCUCAGUGGAGACGGACUUGGCGCUGCCGCCCCCUGAAACCAGUGCCAGGUAGCAGUCUGCAAGGAACUGAGCAUCAGAGAUGCACACAGCACGUUUUUAAAAACUUUUUUAAGAAGUUAACUCUGUGAACAUACUAAUCCAAACUAAAGUCAGACCCCUCAGGUUCUGUGGGACUGUCCUGUGGCUGUCUUCCAGUCUUGGCCUCUGUCCCUGGAGCCUGUGGAGGACAGGCGACCACGGGGAAGAGACAGCUGUGUGCUCCACCUGUGUGGAGGGCAAGUCUGUGCUGGGGUUUGCAUCUCCCCGUCUAAUACACUAAGAACACUCGCUCCCACUUGCA